ensembl:snRNA U2 U2 spliceosomal RNA
AUCGCUUCUCGGCCUUUUGGCUAAGAUCAAGUGUAGUAACACACCUGUUGGUUACAGCUACCUACAUCUGCACUUACCUGUUGCUCUCUCUGUCAUCUCUGUCUCUGUAUACAUACCUGGAUACAUAUUUAUGCAUACGUAGUGUAUAAACAUAUAAUGUAUGCCUAUCUAUGUAAAUCUAU